rnacentral:rRNA from 1 species
AGUAACGCGUGAGCAAUCUGCCUUUAAGAGGGGGAUAACAGUCGGAAACGGCUGCUAAUACCGCAUAAGCGCACAGUAUCGCAUGAUACAGUGUGAAAAACUCCGGUGGUACAAGAUGGACCCGCGUCUGAUUAGCUAGUUGGUGAGGUAACGGCCCACCAAGGCAACGAUCAGUAGCCGACCUGAGAGGGUGACCGGCCACAUUGGGACUGAGACACGGCCCAG